rnacentral:tRNA from 1 species
GGGCCGGUAGAUCAGCCCGGUCAUGGUCUCAAUUCGAGCCCAUGGGGAGCUAGAUCGCUUCCUUGGCAUGGAAGAGGUCCCGAGUUCGAAUCUCGGCCGGUCCACCA